GAGCUUAACUAAUUUUUGCAAAUUGGCCCUGUUUAGAUGUACUCUUUCAACACUUAGCCAUGUCAUUUACAGCUCAACAUUAGUCUUCACUUCCUGCUUGCAUUAAGCCAAAUAGCCAGAGAUCAAAGAGCAGAGCCUUCUCAGCUUUUUUCUGAGCAUGCAUCCUGCUCUGAGUGUGGCUUUCUAAAUUCCCCUGUAUGCACAAGAGUUUUUCUGUGUUCUAAUUCUUCAAAGAAUAUCUCCUCCAGAAUUUCGUGUUUUUAAUUUUUGCCUUAACUGUUUGUUUUGUUUGCUUGUUGUUUGUUUCCCCAGGUAGCAGAUAGUUAUUAAUUUGUCUUUUAAUAUUUUCAUGAAAUGACCUCUGCAUAGCCACUUUUGUACCCUGAAAACUUUGCAAGUUAGAUGAAACAAAGGCUAUCACCUUAUGUCAGUUUCUCAGGCAGCCCCCAGGCAGGUCAAAAAUGAUAAACACAGUUGUUUGAGAACAAGGUGUACUCUGCUGCAGGGACCAGGGUCUCACAUCGGGAAUGAAGGCAUCUGAUUUCAAGACCAUCACCAUCCCAGAGUGGAGAUGGAGCAAAGGAAACCUGAAUGGGAGACUUCGGUUUCAGAAUAUCUCACAAAAAUAAGAUUGUUGCUUCCAUAUGCCAUAACAAAUUAGAAGACUGUACACGACAUCUAGAAACACACAUUGAAACUUAAGGUUAAAUCCUUCAGCAGGACUUCUUAUUUUAGUACAGAAAGCAUCAUAACUAAGAGUGUGAUUUUUUAUAGAAACUGCUCUCUGCGAUGUGUUUGAAGUUGUGCAUGGUGAAAAUGGUAUUACUGAACUAUAAGUCCUUAUUCUCUUUUCCCUAUUAACAGCACAGCUAGUAGCCUUCAGAUCUCUGUAUUCUUCCAACUAUUUUGUGAGGUGUCUUUCAUCCCACUACAAAGAACAGAUAAGGCAAGAAAAGAGAUAUUUUCUGCAGGGCUUAAUUGGAAAAGGUAUAGAUUUCAAGAAGAGAAAUGAGGGUAGCUCUUUUCAACUAAAUCGGCUUUCUUUUUUGAUUUCCAAGACUCCUCCACAAGCAUGCCUCAAAGUACUCAAAGUAGGCUCUGCAAACUUAAAAUUUUCAAUACUUUGAUGUAUCAAGGAAAGCUUAUUCUAACACUAUUAUUUUCAUUUAAAUGAAGACUAAUUUACUCAUUGAGUUGAAUAUUAAAGAACACGAAAUACAUAGUUUGAUUAUUAAACAAGAACCAACACUAGUUGUUUAUAUCUCAGAAACCCUGAAAACUCCUUGCUUGCCCCUCUUUCAUACCCCAUCUGAUUCCCUCUCACCUAGCAUCCCCUGGUAGAAUAGCUUCUAGAUUUGUUCUCAUGAAAGCCUGCCCACAACUUGUGAUACUUCCUAAACCCUGUGAACCAUGAAAAUCUGAGACAGGUUUCAAUUAAUUUAGAAAGUUUAUGUUGCCAAGGUUUGAGGACACGCACCCAUGACACAGCCUCAGGAGGUCCUGACAACAUGUGCCCAAGGCAGUAGGGGCACAGCUUGGUAUUAUACAUUUUAGGGAGACAUGAGACAUCAAUCAAUGUGUGUAAGAUGUACACUGGUUCAGUUUGGAAAGGUGGGAUAACUUGAGGUGAAGGUGGGACAACUCGAAGCAGGGAGGGGCUUCUAGGUCAUAGGUAGAUAAAAGACAAAUGGUUGCAUUCUUCUGAGUUUCUGAUUAGCCUCUCCAAAUGAGACAAUCAGAUAUGCAUUUAUCUCAGUGAGCAGAGGGAUGACUUUGAAAAGAAUGGAAGGCAAGUUUUGCCCUAAGCAGUUCCCAGCUUGACUUUUCCCUUUAGCUUAGUGAUUCUGGGGACCCGAGAUUUAUUUUCCUUUCAUGACCCCAAUCUUCAAAAUGCCUCGUGUUUUAUUUAUCACUAGGUGAUAGCUAAUUAAUUGAUCAAAAUAGUUGGUGUUCAUGGGAAACACUCAGCAGUGCUUUCAAAAACAGCCUUUUACAUAACAAACGUGAUUUUAUUGUUGGGUACUUGGCAAAAUCCAAUGAAUGAAAUUUAAUGGAGAAAUUAGUAAGCACUAGAGCAGAUGACAGCUAGAGUUUUUAAAAUUGUUCUGUUAAAGAAAACAACCCAGAUGGCUAACCCAUUUCACCACAGAACUGAUAUAUUAAUAAUCUCUUAAAAUUUUUUCUCCUGCAGAUAUAUCUCAAUUUACUCACUUAUCAUAUUCAGUUUACUCACUUAUCAAAAGCUCCAAAGAUGAAAAGAUUAUUGUAUUGUGAAUAUUUGUUUGCUGAAAACAUAUGAGAAGAAUAUGUACUCCUAGAUCAGUAAAUAGCAUGAGCAAAGAAGUAAUCAAUUCACAGAGAGCCAAGCAUAUUAAGACAAUUGUCUAGUAAUAUUGAGACAAUUUCUAGUAAUAUUACUGGGUUACAUACUGUUAAAGCAAACUACAUAUGGCCUGAGAAGGACUCCGUACUUCUAUAUUUGAGUUCUGGAGGAUAAACUGUAACCUAGCUUAAUAGUCAGACAGAAUUGAAAACCCAACUUAAUAGUAUACACCUAAACAAUAGCUGAGUGUUGGCCAAUCCCAGUGGCCAUACUUCCACCACUCAUAGACUGCUGAAUGUUGAAACUUCAUUCAAAUAAGGCAAACGCCAAGCUGUAACCAAUCUCGCUCUCUCUAUACCUCACUUCUGAUUCCUGUAUGUCACUUUUACCUUUUUUGUCUAUAAAUUUGUUCUAGCACAAGGCACCCCUGGAGUCUCCGUGAAUCUGCUGUGAUUCUGGGAACUUCCUGAUUCGCGAAUUGUUCAUUACUCAAUUAAACGCCUUUAAAUAUAA
rnacentral:lncRNA from 1 species